rnacentral:misc_RNA from 1 species
GUGAAUCAUCGAAUUUUUGAACGCAAAUUGCGCCUUUUUCGGAAGGCAUGUCUGUUUGUGGGCACCAUUUAACAAAUAAUGUGCAUUUCGUGUGCACACGUUGAUGAGCUUUCCAAAUUUAUGUAUUAUUAUUUUUUGUGGCGCAUAAUAAACAGCGCGAUGCUUUUUUUUAGUUCUAGUGUAGUAAAAUUUUUACUUGUUUUGUGAAAAAACAUAAUCGCGCAAUGGUUGUGGCU